rnacentral:rRNA from 1 species
GACGAACCGUGCGAACGUUGUUCGGAAUCACUGGGCUUAAAGGGCGCGUAGGCGGGUUCCCAAGUCCGGGGUGAAAUCUUUCGGCUCAACCGGAAAAUAGCCUUGGAUACUGGGAGUCUCGAGGGAGGUAGGGGCAGCGGGAACUUCCGGUGGAGCGGUGAAAUGCGUGGAUAUCGGAAGGAACGCCGGUGGCGAAAGCGCGCUGCUGGACCUCUGCUGACGCUGAGGCGCGAAAGCCAGGGGAGCAAACGGG